UACGCAGGGGGCAAGCGUUGUUCGGAAUUACUGGGCGUAAAGGGCGCGUAGGCGGCCUGCUAAGUCGAACGUGAAAUCCCUGGGCUCAACCCAGGAACUGCGUCCGAUACUGGUUGGCUUGAAUCCGGGAGAGGGACGUGGAAUUCCAGGUGUAGCGGUGAAAUGCGUAGAUAUCUGGAGGAACACCGGUGGCGAAGGCGACGUCCUGGACCGGCAUUGACGCUGAGGCGCGAAAGCCAGGGGAGCAAACGGG
rnacentral:rRNA from 1 species